rnacentral:rRNA from 1 species
UACGUAGGUGGCAAGCGUUGUCCGGAUUUAUUGGGUUUAAAGGGUGCGUAGGCGGCAUGAUAAGUCAGUGGUGAAAGCCGGUAGCUCAACUAUCGAACUGCCAUUGAUACUGCCGUGCUUGAGUAUAGAUGAGGUAGGCGGAAUUGACAGUGUAGCGGUGAAAUGCAUAGAUAUUGUCAAGAACACCAAUUGCGAAGGCAGCUUACUAAGUUAUAACUGACGCUGAGGCACGAAAGUGCGGGGAUCAAACAGG